GACGAACGCUGGCGGCGUGCCUAAUACAUGCAAGUCGAACGCUUCUUUCCUCCCAAGUGCUUGCACUCAAUUGGAAAGAGGAGUGGCGGACGGGUGAGUAACACGUGGGUAACCUACCCAUCAGAGGGGGAUAACACUUGGAAACAGGUGCUAAUACCGCAUAACAGUUUAUGCCGCAUGGCAUAAGAGUGAAAGGCGCUUUCGGGUGUCGCUGAUGGAUGGACCCGCGGUGCAUUAGCUAGUUGGUGAGGUAACGGCUCACCAAGGCCACGAUGCAUAGCCGACCUGAGAGGGUGAUCGGCCACACUGGGACUGAGACUCGGCCCAGACUCCUACGGGAGGCAGCAGUAGGGAAUCUUCGGCAAUGGACGAAAGUCUGACCGAGCAACGCCGCGUGAGUGAAGAAGGUUUUCGGAUCGUAAAACUCUGUUGUUAGAGAAGAACAAGGACGUUAGUAACUGAACGUCCCCUGACGGUAUCUAACCAGAAAGCCACGGCUAACUACG
rnacentral:rRNA from 1 species